UACGAAGGGGGUUAGCGUUGCUCGGAAUCACUGGGCGUAAAGCGCACGUAGGCGGCUUCUUAAGUCAGUGGUGAAAUCCUGGAGCUCAACUCCAGAACUGCCUUUGAUACUGAGGAGCUUGAGUCCGGGAGAGGUGAGUGGAAUUGCGAGUGUAGAGGUGAAAUUCGUAGAUAUUCGCAAGAACACCAGUGGCGAAGGCGGCUCACUGGCCCGGUACUGACGCUGAGGUGCGAAAGCGUGGGGAGCAAACAGG
rnacentral:rRNA from 1 species